UACGUAGGGCGCAAGCGUUGUCCGGAUUUAUUGGGCGUAAAGAGCUCGUAGGCGGUCUGUCGCGUCGGCUGUGAAAACCCGAGGCUCAACCUCGGGCCUGCAGUCGAUACGGGCAGACUAGAGUGUGGUAGGGGAGACUGGAAUUCCUGGUGUAGCGGUGAAAUGCGCAGAUAUCGGAGGGAACAUCAGUGGCGAAAGCGACUUCCUGGACCAGUACCGACGUUCAGGCACGAAAGCGUGGGGAGCAAACAGG
rnacentral:rRNA from 1 species